rnacentral:rRNA from 1 species
UACGUAGGGUGCGAGCGUUGUCCGGAAUUAUUGGGCGUAAAGAGCUCGUAGGCGGUUUGUCGCGUCGGGAGUGAAAACACACAGCUUAACUGUGUGCUUGCUUCCGAUACGGGCAGACUAGAGGUAUGCAGGGGAGAACGGAAUUCCUGGUGUAGCGGUGAAAUGCGCAGAUAUCAGGAGGAACACCGGUGGCGAAGGCGGUUCUCUGGGCCGGUACUGACGCUGAGGAGCGAAAGCGUGGGGAGCAAACAGG